GUAGGUGGGGUAACGGCUCACCUAGGCGACGAUCCCUAGCUGGUCUGAGAGGAUGACCAGCCACACUGGAACUGAGACACGGUCCAGACUCCUACGGGAGGCAGCAGUGGGGAAUAUUGCACAAUGGGCGCAAGCCUGAUGCAGCCAUGCCGCGUGUGUGAAGAAGGCCUUCGGGUUGUAAAGCACUUUCAGCGGGGAGGAAGGCGAUAAGGUUAAUAACCUUGUCGAUUGACGUUACCCGCAGAAGAAGCACCGGCUAACUCCGUGCCAGCAGCCGCGGUAAUACGGAGGGUGCAAGCGUUAAUCGGAAUUACUGGGCGUAAAGCGCACGCAGGCGGUCUGUCAAGUCGGAUGUGAAAUCCCCGGGCUCAACCUGGGAACUGCAUUCGAAACUGGCAGGCUAGAGUCUUGUAGAGGGGGGUAGAAUUCCAGGUGUAGCGGUGAAAUGCGUAGAGAUCUGGAGGAAUACCGGUGGCGAAGGCGGCCCCCUGGACAAAGACUGACGCUCAGGUGCGAAAGCGUGGGGAGCAAACAGGAUUAGAUACCCUGGUAGUCCACGCCGUAAACGAUGUCGAUUUGGAGGUUGUGCCCUUGAGGCGUGGCUUCCGGAGCUAACGCGUUAAAUCGACCGCCUGGGGAGUACGGCCGCAAGGUUAAAACUCAAAUGAAUUGACGGGGGCCCGCACAAGCGGUGGAGCAUGUGGUUUAAUUCGAUGCAACGCGAAGAACCUUACCUGGUCUUGACAUCCACAGAACUUUCCAGAGAUGGAUUGGUGCCUUCGGGAACUGUGAGACAGGUGCUGCAUGGCUGUCGUCAGCUCGUGUUGUGAAAUGUUGGGUUAAGUCCCGCAACGAGCGCAACCCUUAUCCUUUGUUGCCAGCGGUCCGGCCGGGAACUCAAAGGAGACUGCCAGUGAUAAACUGGAGGAAGGUGGGGAUGACGUCAAGUCAUCAUGGCCCUUACGACCAGGGCUACACACGUGCUACAAUGGCAUAUACAAAGAGAAGCGACCUCGCGAGAGCAAGCGGACCUCAUAAAGUAUGUCGUAGUCCGGAUUGGAGUCUGCAACUCGACUCCAUGAAGUCGGAAUCGCUAGUAAUCGUAGAUCAGAAUGCUACGGUGAAUACGUUCCCGGGCCUUGUACACACCGCCCGUCACACCAUGGGAGUGGGUUGCAAAAGAAGUAGGUAGCUUAACCUUCGGGAGGGCGCUUACCACUUUGUGAUUCAUGACUGGGGUGAAGUCGUAACAAGGUAACCGUAGGGGAACCUGCGGUUGGAUCACCU
rnacentral:rRNA from 1 species